rnacentral:lncRNA from 1 species
AUGUCAUUACUGUACGUCCCCAUAUCAAUAAAGACAAAAAUCAAUAUACCGAAUGAGUUAAACGAUAAAGGCCUUAAGCACAGAUGAUAACCCAACAAUAAUCAAUCAAAACAUAUGGAGACCAUAUAAAUAAUCAAGAGAUUCAAUAAGAGAGAGUAUCAAAAGAUUACAUUGUUUUCCCCAACAACAAUAGGGUUUAGUUCACCAUAGACAUGGUGAAACUAGAUGAAAAAUGAAAGAAGAAUGGAAAAGCAAACCCUAGAAAAGAUGAAAAGGAGCCUAAGCAUCCAAGAGAUCCUCUCCAGAGAGCAAAAUUAGGUCUGGUCGUUCUACCCUGUCAAAAGAAUGACUCU